UGGGGAAUCUUGCACAAUGGGGGCAACCCUGAUGCAGCGACGCCGCGUGAGCGAUGAAGCCCUUCGGGGCGUAAAGCUCUUUCGACCGGAACGAUAAUGACGGUACCGGGAGAAGAAGCUGCGGCUAACUACGUGCCAGCAGCCGCGGUAAUACGUAGGCAGCAAGCGUUGUUCGGAGUUACUGGGCGUAAAGAGUGCGUAUGCGGUUUUCUAAGUUCGGGGUGAAAUCUCCCGGCUUAACUGGGAGGGUGCGCCGAAGACUGGGAAGCUGGAGUGUGGGAAAGGCAGGCGGAAUUCCUGGUGUAGCGGUGAAAUGCGUAGAUAUCAGGAGGAACACCGGCGGUGUAGACGGCUUGCUAGACCAUAACUGACGCUGAGGCACGAAAGCGUGGGUAGCAAACA
rnacentral:rRNA from 1 species